rnacentral:rRNA from 1 species
GCAGCCCGUACCCUAAACCGACACAGGUAGUUGGGAUGAGAAUUCUAAGGAGCUCGAGAGAUUCAUGGCUAAGGAACUAGGCAAAAUAGACCUGUAACUUCGGGAGAAAGGUCGCCACCCUUUGGGGUGGCCGCAGUGAAAAGGUCCAGGCGACUGUUUAUCAAAAACACAGGGCUAUGCUAAAUUGAAAGAUGAUGUAUAUGGCCUGACACCUGCCCGGUGCUGGAAGGUUAAGUGGAGGGUUUAGCUUCGGCGAAGAUCUCAAAUGAAGCCCCAGUAAACGGCGGCCGUAACAAUAACGGUCCUAAGGUAGCGAAAUUCCUUGUCGGGUAAGUUCCGAC